rnacentral:lncRNA from 1 species
GGGGUCGCUCGGAGCGGCGGCGGCCGGCGGGGAACGGGCCCGCGGGGCCGGCCGGGAGCGGCGCCGGGCGGAGGGCGGCGGCGGCCACCACCGAGGAGCGGCGGCGGCAAAGUUUUGGUGUGGGGGGCCAGAGGCGCGGAGGGGGAUUACGAUCCGUGCCGGCGAGGGAUUCCCAGACACCGCCAGGCAGGCUAGAUCUGGCAGAUAGCGGCUAUGAGGACUUUGCUGACUUCAGAAAGCUGACAGAAACCAACAGACUUCACUGAAAUACCCCUCCAAGCACAGAGACUUUUCGUAGCUUUAAAGUAACCUGUUGUUCAUCAGCGAAGACAUGGCUAAUGGUUCUUUCAGCACACAUGGAGGAAGGCAACAAAAAUUGUAACCCUGGCUAAUAAGACUGUGUUUUCCUUAUCAAAAGUAGGAGGCAGGCCAAUUAUAAAAGGAUUAUUUCAUGCUUAGCCUCCAGGACUUUAACUCUGGCCUGAACACUGGACAUAAGUAGAAGCCAAUUUUAAUGACCUGAGAUUUUGUUACCUGUGCAUUAUUAUUGUUAUCAGUUCUUAAACACUUUGGUAC